ensembl:lncRNA
UGUGACAGAGGGUGAUGGUGUCCUGUGACAGAGGGUAAUGGUGUCCUGUGACAGAGGGUAAUGGUGUCCUGUGACAGAGGGUAAUGAUGUCCUGUGACAGUGGGUGAUGGUGUCCAGUGACAGUGGGUGAUGGUGUCCUGUGACAGAGGGUGAUGGUGUCCUGUGACAGAUGGUGCAGUGUCCUGUGACAGAUGGUGAUGGUGUCCUGUGACAGAGGAUGAUGGUGUCCUGUGACAGAGGGUGAUGGUGUCCUGUGACAGAGGGUGAUGGUGUUCUGUGACAGAUGGUGAUGGUGUUCUGUGACAGAGGGUGACGGUGUUCUGUGACAGAUGGUGAUGGUGUCCUGUGACAGAGGGUGAUGAUGUCCUGUGACAGAGGGUGAUGGUGUCCUGUGACAGAGGGUGAUGGUGUCCUGUGACAGAGGGUGAUGGUGUCCUGUGACAGAGGAUUAUGGUGUCCUGUGACAGAGGGUGAUGGUGUCCUGUGACAGUGGGUGAUGAUGUCCUUUGAAAACAGUGGUUUGCUGAUUUUUUUUUUUUUUUUUUUUUGGGGAUUUGUCCUCAGGGUUUCGUCUGCCAUAUCAGUUCUGUUAUACUCAGACAUCAUUUUCACAGUUUUGGUAACUUUAGAGUGUUUACUAUCCACAUCUACCAAUUAUAUGCAGAUCCUAACUUCUGGGCCUGAGUAACAGGCAGUUUACUUUGGGCCCUCUUUUCAUCCGGAUGUGAAAAUACUGCCCCCUACCCAAGAGAGGUUAAACAAUUUAAAGGCAAUGCUACCAAAUACUAAUUGAGUGUAUUUAAACCUCUGACCCACUGGGAAUGCGAUGAAAGAAAUAAAAGCUGAAAUAAAUUAUUAUUUCUACUAUUAUUCUGUCAUUUCACAUUCUUAAAUAAAGUGGUGAUCCUAACUGACCUAAGACAGGCACUUUUUACUAGGAUUAAAUGUCAGGAAUUGUGAAAAACUGAGUUUAAAUGUAUUUGGCUAAGGUGUAUGUAAACUUCCGACUUCACCUGUAGAUUCAGAUUGGUCAGACCAACGUUGAACAGUCCUUACCAUGGGAGCUUCCUGCUUAAGUUUCUG